GAUGAUUUACCUCUUGCUUGACGAAGAAGGUGGUUGGGCUGAUGGCCAUGGCAUAAAGGGACCCAACAAACUCGGCACCAGUGAUGAUGGCCUGUAGCUGGGGAGUAGGAAUAUACCCUAUUAUUCCCGAAGAGUCUGAGUGAGAAUCCUUGUGGUAGUAGAUUGGGUCAACAAUGAUUUGCUUUUAUGUUCAUACAAAUUUUCAGAGAGAUCUUUUGCUAAAUUUAAUUCCAUUUGGUUGAAGAUUACUCUUUACUUUUUCUUUAUUUAAAUUAUUUAUGAAAUUAGACCGAAACACAUUUCAUUUUGUGUUAUGUUCCUUGGGAUUCAUGUCAGUCUUUGGUUUUCAUUUCAAAAUACACAGAUUUCUUCCGAAAUUUGAUGAGAAAAUUCUACAGAUAAUUAAAAAAUCGACGACUACACAAUUUGUAUUAGUGAUUGGAAUAUCGUAUGAACAAACAUAGUGACACAAAGUGAAUAUGACUUGUAUGAAUCAGGCCCACGGAGCAUAAAUAUCUGCAUAUUUGUCUAACUAUCCGGUUGCUGUGACAUUGUGAGCUUUUGAAUUUGCCAACUGAUUUGCGUAAUAAGCUUCUUUUAAAGUUAUAUGACGAUUUGCAUAUUAUCUCUAGACAAAUUGGAAGGAAAUAAAGGCUUAAAUUAUCUGAUAAUAUAAUUCUAUAUUUUCUCAUGUCUUCUUGAGAACGUAGUACGCGAAACCAAAUAAUAGCAAUAUCCAAGAUCCUCAUCCGUUGUCGUAUCGCUUUAUUAUUUGUUUGAUGAGCAGGAAUGGAUGAGAUCCUGGCCGAACUCUGACAGAUAGCCG
rnacentral:lncRNA from 1 species